rnacentral:lncRNA from 1 species
UGUGUUAAGUUUGAUCUCGUCAAGCUAAGUGGAAGCUGGAAAGGAAUGGAUCAAACGGGUCAACUGCGCAAGGAAAGCUCGAACGGACGCAAACUGUGAUGUUCGUCUCAUUUCGGACCCCGAUCAAGGAAGAAUUCAAGAACCGGACACAAAGUUUUGAAGCUUCUGCGCUAAUCUAAUCUUGUUUUAGACAAUGUUUAUUUGUAAACACUAAACUCAAUGUUGUAUGUUUUAACUAGUUAGUUUGUAAACUAAAAUACCAUAACCAUGUAAACUUAGUUUUUAUAACUAAGUUUUGAAAUGAU